GUGCCAGCAGCCGCGGUAAGACGAACCGUGCGAACGUUGUUCGGAUUCACUGGGCUUAAAGGGCGCGUAGGCGGGCUCGCAAGUCAGGGGUGAAAUCCUCCGGCUCAACCGGAGAACAGCCUUUGAUACUGCGAGCCUCGAGGAAGGUAGGGGCAUGUGGAACUUCCGGUGGAGCGGUGAAAUGCGUAGAUAUCGGAAGGAACGCCGGUGGCGAAAGCGACGUGCUGGACCUUUUCUGACGCUGAGUGCGCGAAAGCCAGGGGAGCAAACGGGAUUAGAUACCCCUGUAGUCC
rnacentral:rRNA from 1 species